rnacentral:rRNA from 1 species
AACCAACAGGGAUUGCUUUUAGUAGCGGCGAGUGAAGCGGCAAAAGCUCAAAUUUGAAAUCUGGCACUUUCAGUGUCCGAGUUGUAAUUUGAAGAAGGUAUCUUUGGGUCUGGCUCUUGUCUAUGUUUCUUGGAACAGAACGUCACAGAGGGUGAGAAUCCCGUGCGAUGAGAUGUCCCAGACCUAUGUAAAGUUCCUUCGAAGAGUCGAGUUGUUUGGGAAUGCAGCUCUAAGUGGGUGGUAAAUUCCAUCUAAAGCUAAAUAUUGGCGAGAGACCGAUAGCGAACAAGUACAGUGAUGGAAAGAUGAAAAGAACUUUGAAAAGAGAGUGAAAAAGUACGUGAAAUUGUUGAAAGGGAAGGGCUUGAGAUCAGACUUGGUAUUUUGUAUGUUACUCUCUCGGGGGUGGCCUCUACAGUUUACCGGGCCAGCAUCAGUUUGGGCGGUAGGACAAUUGCAAAGAAAUGUGGCACUGCCUCGGUAGUGUGUUAUAGUCUUUGUCGAUACUGCCAGCCUAGACUGAGGACUGCGGCUUCGGCCUAGGAUGUUGGCAUAAUGAUCUUAAGUCGCCC